rnacentral:rRNA from 1 species
CUACGGGAUGCUCCAGUGGGGAAUAUUGCACAAUGGAGGAAACUCUGAUGCGGCAACGCCGCGUGGAGGAUGACACUUUUCGGAGCGUAAACUCCUUUUAUAUAGGAAGAAGAUGACGGUACUAUAUGAAUAAGCGCCGGCUAACUCCGUGCCAGCAGCCGCGGUAAUACGGAGGGCGCAAGCGUUACUCGGAAUCACUGGGCGUAAAGAGCGUGUAGGCGGAUUAAAAAGUUAGAAGUGAAAUCCUAUAGCUUAACUAUAGAACUGCUUCUGAAACUCUUAAUCUAGAAUAUGGGAGAGGUAGAUGGAAUUUCUGGUGUAGGGGUAAAAUCCGUAGAGAUCAGAAGGAAUACCGAUUGCGAAGGCGAUCUACUAGAACAUUAUUGACGCUGAGACGCGAAAGCGUGGGGAGCAAACAGGAUUAGAUACCCCUGUAGUC